rnacentral:tRNA from 1 species
GUCUUUUUAGUACAACAAGUAUAGGUGACUUCCAAUUACUCGGUCUUAGUUAAAAAUCUAAGAAAAGACA